GUGGCUGUAGCUCAGUUGGUAGAGCCCCGGAUUGUGAUUCCGGUUGUCGUGGGUUCGAGCCCCAUCAGUCACC
rnacentral:tRNA from 5 species